rnacentral:rRNA from 1 species
AGUGAACGCUGGCGGUAGGCCUAACACAUGCAAGUCGAACGGCAGCACAGUAAGAGCUUGCUCUUACGGGUGGCGAGUGGCGGACGGGUGAGGAAUACAUCGGAAUCUACUUUUUCGUGGGGGAUAACGUAGGGAAACUUACGCUAAUACCGCAUACGACCUACGGGUGAAAGCAGGGGAUCUUCGGACCUUGCGCGAUUGAAUGAGCCGGUGUCGGAUUAGCUAGUUGGCGGGGUAAAGGCCCACCAAGGCGACGAUCCGUAGCUGGUCUGAGAGGAUGAUCAGCCACACUGGAACUGAGACACGGUCCAGACUCCUACGGGAGGCAGCAGUGGGGAAUAUUGGACAAUGGGCGCAAGCCUGAUCCAGCCAUACCGCGUGGGUGAAGAAGGCCUUCGGGUUGUAAAGCCCUUUUGUUGGGAAAGAAAAGCAGCAGGUUAAUACCCCGCUGUUCUGACGGUACCAAAAGAAUAAGCACCGGCUAACUUCGUG